rnacentral:rRNA from 1 species
UACGUAGGUGGCAAGCGUUGUCCGGAUUUACUGGGCGUAAAGAGCGCGCAGGCGGUCGAUUUAGUCGCGUGUGAAAGCCCCCGGCUCAACUGGGGAGGGUCACGCGAUACUGAUCGACUCGAAGGCAGGAGAGGGUAGUGGAAUUCCCGGUGUAGUGGUGAAAUGCGUAGAUAUCGGGAGGAACACCAAUGGCGAAGGCAGCUCGCUGGAACGGUACUGACGCUGAGGCGCGAAAGCGUGGGGAGCGAACAGG